UCCGUGGCUACGAGGACGAACGCUGGCGGUGUGCUUCACACAUGCAAGUCGAACGAGGUAGCAAUACCUAGUGGCGGACGGGUGAGUAACGCGUGGGAAUCUGCCUUUAGAUGGGGGAUAACGGGUCGAAAGACUCGCUAAUACCGCAUAUGACGAAAGUUGAAAGGAGUAAUCCGUCUAAAGAUGAGCCCGCGUCCGAUUAGCUAGUUGGUAGAGUAAAAGCCUACCAAGGCGACGAUCGGUAGCUGGUCUGAGAGGAUGAUCAGCCACAAUGGGACUGAGACACGGCCCAUACUCCUACGGGAGGCAGCAGUGGGAAUUUUACGCAAUGGGCGAAAGCCUGACGUAGCGACACCGCGUGAGCGAAGAAGCCCCUUGGGGUGUAAAGCUCUGUCAGCUGGAACGAAAAAAAUGACGGUACCAGCAGAGGAAGCAUCGGCUAACUACGUG
rnacentral:rRNA from 1 species